GCGGGUGUGGCGGAAUUGGUAGACGCACCAGAUUUAGGUUCUGGCGCCUAGGCGUGGGGGUUCGAGUCCCUUCACCCGCACCA
rnacentral:tRNA from 4 species